rnacentral:rRNA from 1 species
AACGAACGCUGGCGGCAGGCUUAACACAUGCAAGUCGAGCGCCCCGCAAGGGGAGCGGCAGACGGGGUGAGUAACGCGUGGGGACAUACCCUUUGGUUCGGAAUAACUCAGGGAAACUUGAGCUAAUACCGGAUACGUCCGUAAGGAGAAAGAUUUAUCGCCAAAGGAUUGGCCCGCGUCCGAUUAGCUAGUUGGUGAGGUAACGGCUCACCAAGGCUACGAUCGGUAGCUGGUCUGAGAGGAUGAUCAGCCACAUUGGGACUGAGACACGGCCCAAACUCCUACGGGAGGCAGCAGUGGGGAAUAUUGGACAAUGGGCGCAAGCCUGAUCCAGCCAUGCCGCGUGAGUGAUGAGGCCUUAGGGUUGUAAAGGCUCUUUU